rnacentral:rRNA from 1 species
AGUGAACGCUGGCGGUAGGCCUAACACAUGCAAGUCGAACGGCAGCACAGUAAGAGCUUGCUCUUACGGGUGGCGAGUGGCGGAAGGGUGAGGAAUACAUCGGAAUCUACUUUUUCGUGGGGGAUAACGUAGGGAAAUUUACGCUAAUACCGCAUACGACCUACGGGUGAAAGCAGGGGAUCUUCGGACCUUGCGCGAUUGAAUGAGCCGAUGUCGGAUUAGCUAGUUGGCGGGGUAAAGGCCCACCAAGGCGACGAUCCGUAGCUGGUCUGAGAGGAUGAUCAGCCACACUGGAACUGAGACACGGUCCAGACUCCUACAGGAGGCAGCAGUGGGGAAUAUUGGACAAUGGGCGCAAGCCUGAUCCAGCCAUACCGCGUGGGUGAAGAAGGCCUUCGGGUUGUAAAGCCCUUUUGUUGGGAAAGAAAAGCAGCAGGUUAAUACCCCGCUGUUCUGACGGUACCCAAAGAAUAAGCACCGGCUAACUUCGUG